rnacentral:lncRNA from 1 species
CUUUCUAAGAGACCAAUUAUUAGCAUUUUUAAGAAAAGAUUCUUGUGAAUGGAAGAGUGAUAAUAACACUGUUAAAAUCUCUGAAGAAAAAUGUGGUCUCCGCUGAAAACUGUGUUAUUAUAUAGCACCUGUAGGAGAAAAGGUGCAAAUUUUUCUAGUUCCCCACAUGAUCUGACAAAAUUACAGUUUUGAAGAAUGUUUUUUACAGGAAGGAAAACUGAAGUUGUAUUGGAACACCCAGCCAAUUCCACAGUCAGGAUCAAUAUCCUACACACAUCCACCUCUCGUGGUCUAUCUGUGGAUCCAACAAUGUUCCUUCCUGUACUGUUGGAGGCAUGCUUGGCCUUCAGUGACUGAAGACUGAAGAUUAAGCUUUAUAUUGCAGCAAGGAAUCAGACCACUACUUUCAAUUUAAUUUUUUAGAAAUUUUAUUAUUUUUGUACGGUUUUCAUAGACUAAGGAAUACAAAUUGCAACAGAAGACAAUUUCUCAUGACAUAUUACCGUAUGAAGUGCACAAUGCUUAUAUUCAAUAGAUACUGUAAAAGAAAGCUUUACAAAAUGAUUGCUCUUAGAGGUGAAGGAUAAUACUGGGUGACUUUGUUCCCUGCUUUGUUUUUCAGGGGGAUGAGUGAGAACUGAAUUUCUGUACCACUAAAACCUAUAGGUUUAAUAUCUAGAUAUCCAGGUAUUCAGGACAAUUGCAGAAUCUCCAUCUAAAACCUGUUUCUUAAGAUACUAAAACAGUAUAAUAAUUAUACUGUUAGUAUAAUCAUAAAAUCUCCUGUUACUAUUAAAGAAACAUACCAGCAUGGCAUGCUCCAAAGCUCAUGGAUGACAGACUCCUGUUGUCCCUGAGAGGCAAACGAAGCCAUGUGGGGCUACUGAUCUCUCUUGCCCAGAGCAAGCCAUGGCUAAACCCAUGAUUGGAGCUGUGUAGGGUGAACAGGCUGCUAUGGACCUGACUCUGUAAUACACUUUUGUGUGUGAAGAUAGUGCACUGUACUUUUACUGCACAUGUAACUUGCUUUGUGGUGAGCAGGCCCAGUUGGGAGUAAAGAUCCCCAGAUGUUUUUCCUACUUUAGUUCCCAGUCUGGUAGAUCAGCUUAUAUGUCACUCAACUUUCUUUGACUGUAGAUCAGAGGCUUCAAACCUGACUUCUUGGCAACUCCUGGUAUAAAGUACCGCACAGAACUAGUUGUUCCUCUAAUUAACAUGGAGUAUGAGAUCUGACUUCAUGAAAUCUACUGGUGAAAAGUAGUAUACAAAACUAGGUACUUACAUAGUUAACAUUGCUUCUGCAAUUUGUCCAAAUAAACAUAACUGUUUGUAUUCUGUUUUACA